AGGGCGCACGGUGGAUGCCUUGGCACUAGGAGCCGAUGAAGGACGGAACUAAUACCGAUAUGCUUCGGGGAGCUAUAAGUAAGCUUUGAUCCGGAGAUUUCCGAAUGGGGGAACCCAGUACACAUCAGUGUAUUGCCUGCAAGUGAAUUCAUAGCUUGUCGGCGGCAGACGCGGGGAACUGAAACAUCUCAGUACCCGCAGGAAGAGAAAGAAAACUCGAUUCCCAUAGUAGCGGCGAGCGAAGUGGGAAGAGCCCAAACCGAGAAGCUUGCUUCUCGGGGUUGUAGGACUGGACAUUGGAGUUACCAAAGUUCGACGUAGUCGAAGUCAGCUGGAAAGCUGCGCCAUAGAAGGUGAAAGCCCUGUAAACGAAACGGCGGACCCUCCGUCCAGGAUCCUGAGUACGGCGGAACACGUGAAAUUCCGUCGGAAUCCGGGAGGACCAUCUCCCAAGGCUAAAUACUCCCUAGUGACCGAUAGUGAACCAGUACCGUGAGGGAAAGGUGAAAAGCACCCCGGAAGGGGAGUGAAACAGUUCCUGAAACCGUGUGCCUACAAUUAGUCAAAGCCCGUUAAGGGGUAAUGGCGUGCCUUUUGUAGAAUGAACCGGCGAGUUACGUUUGCCUGCGAGGUUAAGAUGAAAAGUCGGAGCCGGAGCGAAAGCGAGUCUGAACAGGGCGAAUGAGUAGGCAGAUGUAGACCCGAAACCAAGUGACCUACCCAUGACCAGGUUGAAGGUGUGGUGAAACACACUGGAGGACCGAACCCAUGUAUGUUGAAAAAUGCUGGGAUGAGUUGUGGGUAGCGGUGAAAUUCCAAACGAACUUGGAGAUAGCUGGUUCUCUCCGAAAUAGCUUUAGGGUUAGCCUCGGAGGAUGGAUCAUGGAGGUAGAGCACUGUUUGAACUAGGGGCCCAUCAAGGGUUACUGAAUUCAGAUAAACUCCGAAUACCAUCGAUCUUACUCCGGGAGUCAGACAGUGAGCGAUAAGGUCCAUUGUCGAAAGGGGAACAGCCCAGAUCACCAGUUAAGGUCCCUAAAUUUAUGCUAAGUGGAAAAGGAUGUGGCGUUGCACAGACAACUAGGAUGUUGGCUCAGAAGCAGCCACCAUUUAAAGAGUGCGUAAUAGCUCACUAGUCGAGUGGCACUGCGCCGAAAAUAUACCGGGGCUAAGCAUAAUACCGAAACUGUGGGUGCACCCGUCAGGGUGCGCGGUAGGAGAGCGUUCUAAGGGCGUUGAAGGUCGAUCGUGAGGACGGCUGGAGCGCUUAGAAGUGAGAAUGCCGGCAUGAGUAGCGAAAGAUCAGUGAGAAUCUGAUCCACCGUAUGACUAAGGUUUCCUGGGGAAGGCUCGUCCUCCCAGGGUUAGUCGGGAUCUAAGGCGAGGCCGCAAGGCGUAGUCGAUGACAAGCAGGUUGAGAUUCCUGCACUAGUUUAUUUUGUUUAAGCGAUGGAGGGACGCAGGAGGCUAAGGAAAGCGCACGGCUGGAAAAGUGCGUCCAAGCCGCAAGUCUGGUGGCGAGUGAAAUGCUUGCGACCAUAAGGACAAGCGGUGAUGGGGAGCGAAAUUAAAGUAGCGAAGUUCCUGAUGUCACACUGCCAAGAAAAGCUUCUAGUGAGAAAUAAACUACCCGUACCGCAAACCGACACAGGUAGUCGAGGAGAGUAUCCUCAGGUGAGCGAGCGAACUCUCGUUAAGGAACUCGGCAAAAUGACCCCGUAACUUCGGAAGAAGGGGUGCUGACCGCAAGGUCAGCCGCAGUGAAUAGGCCCAAACAACUGUUUAUCAAAAACACAGGUCUCUGCUAAAUCGAAAGAUGAUGUAUAGGGGCUGACGCCUGCCCGGUGCUGGAAGGUUAAGAGGAUGAGUUAGCGCAAGCGAAGCCCAGAAUUGAAGCCCCAGUAAACGGCGGCCGUAACUAUAACGGUCCUAAGGUAGCGAAAUUCCUUGUCGGGUAAGUUCCGACCCGCACGAAAGGCGUAAUGAUUUGGGCACUGUCUCAACGAGAGACUCGGUGAAAUUAUAGUACCCGUGAAGAUGCGGGUUACCCGCGACAGGACGGAAAGACCCCAUGGAGCUUUACUGUAGCUUGAUAUUGAGUGUUGGUACCGCUUGUACAGGAUAGGUAGGAGCCGUAGAGAUCGGAACGCUAGUUUCGAUGGAGGCGUUGGUGGGAUACUACCCUAGCUGUAUGAACACUCUAACCCGCGCCACUGAUCGUGACGGGAGACAGUGUCAGGUAGGCAGUUUGACUGGGGCGGUCGCCUCCUAAAAUGUAACGGAGGCGCCCAAAGGUUCCCUCAGAAUGGUUGGAAAUCAUUCGCAGAGUGUAAAGGCAGAAGGGAGCUUGACUGCGAGACCUACAAGUCGAGCAGGGACGAAAGUCGGGCUUAG
rnacentral:rRNA from 1 species